AGUGAACGCUGGCGGCAGGCCUAACACAUGCAAGUCGAGCGGCAGCGCGGGGGCAACCCUGGCGGCGAGCGGCGGACGGGUGAGGAAUACAUCGGAAUCUGCCUUGUUGUGGGGGAUAACGUAGGGAAACUUACGCUAAUACCGCAUGAGACCGUAAGGUGAAAGUGGGGGAUCGCAAGACCUCACGCGACAAGAUGAGCCGAUGUCGGAUUAGCUAGUUGGUGAGGUAAAGGCUCACCAAGGCAACGAUCCGUAGCUGGUCUGAGAGGAUGAUCAGCCACACUGGGACUGAGACACGGCCCAGACUCCUACGGGAGGCAGCAGUGGGGAAUAUUGGACAAUGGGCGCAAGCCUGAUCCAGCCAUGCCGCGUGUGUGAAGAAGGCCUUCGGGUUGUAAAGCACUUUUGUUGGGAAAGAAAUCCUGUCGAUUAAUACUCGGCGGGGAUGACGGUACCCAAAGAAUAAGCACCGGCUAACUUCGUG
rnacentral:rRNA from 1 species